GCUAAACGCGAAGAACCUUACCUGGUCUUGACAUCCACGGAACUUUCCAGAGAUGGAUUGGUGCCUUCGGGAACCGUGAGACAGGUGCUGCAUGGCUGUCGUCAGCUCGUGUCGUGAGAUGUUGGGUUAAGUCCCGCAACGAGCGCAACCCUUGUCCUUAGUUGCCAGCACGUAAUGGUGGGAACUCUAAGGAAACCGCCGGUGACAAACCGGAGGAAGGUGGGGAUGACGUCAAGUCAUCAUGGCCUUUAUGGCCAGGGCUACACACGUGCUACAAUGGCAAGUACAGAGGGAAGCCAACUCGCGAGAGGGAGCUAAUCCCAGAAAACUUGUCUUAGUCCGGAUUGGAGUCUGCAACUCGACUCCAUGAAGUUGGAAUCGCUAGUAAUCGCAGAUCAGCAUUGCUGCGGUGAAUACGUUCCCGGGUCUUGUACACACCG
rnacentral:rRNA from 1 species